rnacentral:rRNA from 1 species
GUGAGGAAUAUUGGUCAAUGGACGAGAGUCUGAACCAGCCAAGUCGCGUGAAGGAAGACGGUUCUAUGAAUUGUAAACUUCUUUUGUGCAGGAAUAAAGUGGGUUACGUGUAACCUUUUGUAUGUACUGUACGAAUAAGGAUCGGCUAACUCCGUGCCAGCAGCCGCGGUAAUACGGAGGAUCCGAGCGUUAUCCGGAUUUAUUGGGUUUAAAGGGUGCGUAGGUGGAUUGAUAAGUCAGCGGUGAAAGUUUGCAGCUUAACUGUAAAAUUGCCGUUGAAGCUGUCGGUCUUGAGUGCAAAUGAGGUAGGCGGAAUGUGUUGUGUAGCGGUGAAAUGCUUAGAUAUAACACAGAACUCCGAUUGCGAAGGCAGCUUACUGGGAUGAAACUGACACUGAUGAACGAAAGCGUGGGUAUCAAACAGGAUUAGAAACCCUAGUAGUCC